rnacentral:rRNA from 1 species
AGAGUUUGAUCCUGGCUCAGAUUGAACGCUGGCGGCAGGCCUAACACAUGCAAGUCGAGCGGUAACACUUCGGGUGACGAGCGGCGGACGGGUGAGUAACGCGUAGGAAUCUACCCAGUAGUGGGGGACAACAGUUGGAAACGACUGCUAAUACCGCAUACGCCCUACGGGGGAAAGGGGGCUUCGGCUCUCGCUAUUGGAUGAGCCUGCGUGAGAUUAGCUAGUUGGUAAGGUAAUGGCUUACCAAGGCAACGAUCUCUAGCUGGUUUGAGAGGAUGAUCAGCCACACUGGGACUGAGACACGGCCCAGACUCCUACGGGAGGCAGCAGUGGGGAAUAUUGCACAAUGGGGGAAACCCUGAUGCAGCCAUGCCGCGUGUGUGAAGAAGGCCUUCGGGUUGUAAAGCACUUUCAGUUGUGAGGAAAGGUUGGUAGUUAAUACCUGCCAGCUGUGACGUUAACAACAGAAGAAGCACCGGCUAACUCCGUGCCAGCAGCCGCGGUAAUACGGAGGGUGCGAGCGUUAAUCGGAAUUACUGGGCGUAAAGCGCACGCAGGCGGUUUGUUAAGCUAGAUGUGAAAGCCCCGGGCUCAACCUGGGAUGGUCAUUUAGAACUGGCAGACUAGAGUCUUGGAGAGGGGAGUGGAAUUCCAGGUGUAGCGGUGAAAUGCGUAGAUAUCUGGAGGAACAUCAGUGGCGAAGGCGGCUCCCUGGCCAAAGACUGACGCUCAUGUGCGAAAGUGUGGGUAGCGAACAGGAUUAGAUACCCUGGUAGUCCACACCGUAAACGCUGUCUACUAGCUGUUUGUGAAUUUAAUUCGUGAGUAGCGAAGCUAACGCGAUAAGUAGACCGCCUGGGGAGUACGGCCGCAAGGUUAAAACUCAAAGGAAUUGACGG